rnacentral:rRNA from 1 species
AGGUUUUUGGAGGAAGGUUCGUCCGCUCCAAGUUAGCCGGGAGCUAAGGUGAGGCCGAAAGGCGUAGCCGAUGCACAUACGGUAGAGAUUCCGUAGCCGCCGAAAGAUUUAAGCAGGGGGACACAUUUGAAGUGUUGGUGCCGGGUGUUGGUUUACCCGGUCGAAAGGGACUGAAAUUUAGUAGGGAAGUCCAGCAUGGAGAGUGGCGAGAAAAGCCCUGUGUAUAUCUAAGGCGCCCGUACCGCAAACCGACACAGGUAGGUAGGAAGAAGAUUCUAAGGCCAACGGGAGAAGGGUUGUUAAGGAACUCGGCAAGUUGACCCCGUAACUUCGGGAGAAGGGGUGCUCAUGAAAGUGAGCCGCAGAGAAUAGGCCCAAGCAACUGUUUAGCAAAAACACAGGUCUGUGCUAAAUCGAAAGAUGACGUAUACGGGCUGACACCUGCCCGGUGCUGGAAGGUUAAGGGGAUGUGUGCAAGCACUGAACCGAAGCCCCAGUAAACGGCGGCCGUAACUAUAACGGUCCUAAGGUAGCGAAAUUCCUUGUCAGGUAAGUUCUGACCCGCACGAAUGGUGUAAUGAUUUGGGCACUGUCUCAACAGCCCGCCCGGCGAAAUUGUAGUACCGGUGAAGAUGCCGGUUUCCCGCGACAAGACGGAAAGACCCCAUGGAGCUUUACUGCAGCCUAAUAUUGGGUUUCGAUAUUACAUGUACAGGAUAUGUGGGAGACAUGGAAGCACGGGCGUCAGCCUGUGUGGAGUCAGCCUUGGGAUACCACACUUGUGAUAUUGGAAUUCUAACCUGCGGCCCUGAAUCGGGUCGGGGGACAUUGUUAGGCGGGCAGUUUGACUGGGGCGGUCGCCUCCGAAAAAGUAACGGAGGCGUUCAAAGGUUGGCUCAGCUUGGACGGAAACCAAGCCAAAGAGUGCAAACGCAUAAGCCAGCCUAACUGCGAGACUGACGGGUCGAGCAGUAACGAAAGUUGGAGUUAGUGAUCCGGCGGUAUGUGAGUGGAAAUGCCGUCGCUCAACGGAUAAAAGUUACCCUGGGGAUAACAGGCUGAUCUCCCCCAAGAGUCCACAUCGACGGGGAGGUUUGGCACCUCGAUGUCGGCUCAUCGCAUCCUGGGGCUGUAUUCGGUCCCAAGGGUUUGGCUGUUCGCCAAUUAAAGCGGUACGCGAGCUGGGUUCAGAACGUCGUGAGACAGUUCGGUCCCUAUCUGUCGUGGGCGCAGGAUAUUUGACAGGAUCUGUCCCUAGUACGAGAGGACCGGGAUGGACGCACCUCUGGUGCACCAGUUGUCACGCCAGUGGCACAGCUGGGCAGCUAUGUGCGGAUCGGAUAAACGCUGAAAGCAUCUAAGCGUGAAGCCGGCCUGGAGAUAAGAUAUCCCACUGAGAUAAUCAGGUAAGACCCCUUGAAGACUACAAGGUUGAUAGGCUCAAAGUGUAAGCACGGUGACGUGUUCAGCUAGCGAGUACUAAUCGGUCGAGGGCUUGACCAC